CGAGCAUGUGAAUGUGAGCAAAUCCCAAAAAUAACGUCUCAGUUCGGAUUGUAGUCUGCAACUCGACUACAUGAAGCUGGAAUCGCUAGUAAUCGCGAAUCAGAAUGUCGCGGUGAAUACGUUCCCGGGUCUUGUACACACCGCCCGUCACACCAUGGGAGUUGGUAACGCCCGAAGUCAGUGACCCAACCUUAGGGAGGGAGCUGCCGAAGGCGGGACUGAUAACUGGGGUGAAGUCGUAACAAGGUAUC
rnacentral:rRNA from 1 species